CGCCGGUGCCGGGUGCAUCCCAUCCAGUUCUAUUCUUUCUCUAACAUUGUGAUUCCUUCUGAAAUUUUUCACUUACUACCAGACUUAGUUGAACAAAUCUAUUUUUCCAUGAAAACCUUUAAGAAGGAUUGAAAGGCCCCAAAAAGGAACUUUAUACCCCUCUAAAUGGUAUAUCCGGACUAGGGAAUUAAGAGACUAUGCAAAUUUUAUUAUUACCAAUCGAAAUCGUAAUUAAGUUGACAUGUGUUGAUAAUCGUUGAAUUAAUUAAUGAUAGUUACACGGGCCACAAUUUAGUUAAAGUAUACUUUUUUGAGCUUGAAUAUUUUAUCUAGGAGAAAUAAUCGUUAUAAAGCGUAUUGCCAUAAUUUUGUUAAAUCUGUACUUUUUAUCUAAAUAUAAAAAGGCAGAUAUCAAAUUACCAAGUUAACAUGCAUAUGUCGCAUAUAUCAUUAUGUAAAACAAUAUCUGCUUUCUUCGGCACGUACCAUGAGGAUAGUUUUACAGCUUCGAAGGCAGGCACAUCUGCCAUAAAUAUAUUAGGUAUCAUUGUUAAAAGAAGGCAGAUGUAUCAUUUACACCCGGUAUCAUCCCGUAUCUAAAUGUUAACAGGCGGCGAAUGCUCCUGUAUCAUUAUUAGAUAAUGGCGGAUACUGUUCAUCACUGAUUCAGAUUUCACUGAAUUUAUGGAAUAUGUUAUGUUAAAAGUAUUUGUGUCUAUAAAGACCUUUGAUAAGAAUAAUAAAAAAUAAAAUUAUU
rnacentral:lncRNA from 1 species